rnacentral:rRNA from 1 species
GAUGAACGCUGGCGGUAUGCUUAACACAUGCAAGUCGAACGGGAUUCUUCGGAAUCUAGUGGCGGACGGGUGAGUAACGCGUGAGAAUCUGCCUUCAGGUCGGGGACAACAUUUGGAAACGAAUGCUAAUACCCGAUGUGCCGCAAGGUGAAAGGUUAACUGCCUGAAGAUGAGCUCGCGUCCGAUUAGCUAGUUGGUGGUGUAAAGGACUACCAAGGCGACGAUCGGUAGCUGGUUUGAGAGGACAAUCAGCCACACUGGGACUGAGACACGGCCCAGACUCCUACGGGAGGCAGCAGUGGGGAAUUUUCCACAAUGGGCGCAAGCCUGACGGAGCAAGACCGCGUGAGGGAAGAAGGUCUGUGGAUUGUAAACCUCUUUUGAUGGGGAAGAAGACAGUGACGGUACCCAUCGAAUCAGCCUCGGCUAACUCCGUGCCAGCAGCCGCGGUAAU